rnacentral:rRNA from 1 species
AGUGAACGCUGGCGGUAGGCCUAACACAUGCAAGUCGAACGGCAGCACAGUAAGAGCUUGCUCUUACGGGUGGCGAGUGGCGGACGGGUGAGGAAUACAUCGGAAUCUACUUUUUCGUGGGGGAUAACGUAGGGAAACUUACGCUAAUACCUCAUACGACCUACGGGUGAAAGCAGGAGAUCUUCGGACCUUGCGCGAUUGAAUGAGCCGAUGUCGGAUUAGCUAGUUGGCGGGGUAAAGGCGCACCAAGGCGACGGUCCGUAGCUGGUCUGAGAGGAUGAUCAGCCACACUGGAACUGAGACACGGUCCAGACUCCUACGGGAGGCAGCAGUGGGGAAUAUUGGACAAUGGGCGCAAGCCUGAUCCAGCCAUACCGCGUGGGUGAAGAAGGCCUUCGGGUUGUAAAGCCCUUUUGUUGGGAAAGAAAAGCAGCAGGUUAAUACCCCGCUGUUCUGACGGUACCCAAAGAAUAAGCACCGGCUAACUUCGUG